rnacentral:rRNA from 1 species
UACGUAGGGUGCAAGCGUUGUCCGGAAUUAUUGGGCGUAAAGAGCUCGUAGGCGGUUUGUCGCGUCGGCUGUGAAAUCCCGAGGCUCAACCUCGGGUCUGCAGUCGAUACGAGCAAACUAGAGUGUUGCAGGGGGGACUGGAAUUCCUGGUGUAGCGGUGAAAUGCGCAGAUAUCAGGAGGAACACCGGUGGCGAAGGCGGGUCUCUGGGCAACAACUGACGCUGAGGAGCGAAAGCGUGGGGAGCGAACAGG